GCCUUUCUUCUGGGAAUCAUUCUGGGUGACUGCUGGGAUCCUAGAUCAGCCUUUGAGGAUACAACAAUGAAGCUGACACAAUUCCUACCCUUGAAAAGCUUAUCUGCUUGCAGAUGGUGACGAGCAAGACACAGAAUCACACGUCUUCCCGCCAGGAGAGGAAAGCUCCUAGGUACUUCUGUGUAGAAUGAAGACAUCAAGCCCACUUCCAGUUCUAACAUCCUAUUAUUCUGCAUGAAGACAUUCAAUAAAUAUUUGGCCAUGAU